CUCUCAGCCUCAGUUUCCUCAAGACAGCCCUUCUCUCAAAGGGCUGAGAGGAGGCCGCUGUGAGAGGAUGUUUGCAAAGCACGCAGAGCGGAGCCUGAUGUGCUGUGAGGGGUUACGAUCUCUCUGGAGCGCGAGUUUCUCCACCCAUAAGAUGGGGAUGACGAGAGUUCCUGCCUCACGGAGUUGCUGAGCAAUCAAAGAAGUUAGUGCACAUAACACACUUAGAGCAACGCUGAGCACACAGCAAGUACUCAGUGACCAGAGAAGUCUACUCUUUCUCAGAUGCAGAGCCAAUAAUAUUCAUUGUGCCCUGUGACAAGGACAUGAUGAUCCCCAUUUGACAGUUAGAUCUUAAGCUCACUGAGGGCCUCUGCCUGAUGAUCUCCAGCUGGCACUCUCAGCCCUGGCACCAAGCACAGUUCCUGGGACCCAGGCAAGUGCUGAGAAAUUGCUGAACUGAAAUCUGAGACCAAAAAAACCUCUGAAUCCCAUCUUCACAUUUCCAGUAAAGGGAGUUAAUGGCUGGUCUCUCAUCUCUCAAAGCUGCUUUGCCUCUCCUUUAGCCUACAAGAGAUUUGGUUCCUGCUGUGAUGUAACUUCUUCCAGGAAGCUGUCCAGCAGCCACCCCAUUUCCUGCUGCCCCAUAAGGAGGUCCUGGGAACGGGUAACGUUGCUUUGCUGAUGAAUAACCUCUGGAGUAGCUUUCGGAACAAAAGACAUCGCAGCACCAGGCCCACUGCCAGAUCUCUCAGACUGUCACCUCUCUGCCUGCUGGUGGGCACCAAAGAUGGCUCAGAAACCUGAAAUAUGCACAUCAUCUUUGACCCAGUAACUCUGCUUGGAGAAAUUUAUCCUGAAGACCUAGCCAGACAAUUAGAGAUCCUCGUAACAUUGUUUAUAAGAAUAUUCACUGGAAAAAACCCAGAGGAACGUCUGGAGGGAACCCAGGCUCUAAAAUUGGCAUACAGAAGAAGGGAAGUGGCUUCGGGGACUCCAAGCUGGACUGGAGCUGGCUGGCUGGCUGGCUCUGGAAAGGUGGGGCCCUGCAGAGAGGCAGGCGCCAGGCAGACCUUGCCUACCACCUUUUGAGCUCCUUGGUCGGAGAGGACCUCCCACCCCAGCAGGUGGAAGACGAGGAUUCAGACCCAGGAGCGAGGCAUGAACGUCCACGCCGGGAACCAUUUUGCCAGACUGGUCUUGGAGCCAGAGCACCAGCCUCAAAUCUGCCUCCGCCAUGACCUGGCUGUUCAUCUCAGGACUCAGCCGCCUCCUCUGGAAGAUGGGAGAAUACCUUCUGCUCUGUAGGCAGGUCGGAGGACUGAAUGGCCCGACCCAGGGCCUGCCCCUCUGGUUCCAGCUCUCAUCACUACCCCCCACCCAGCCAUCCCCAUACUGGAAGCUCCAGCUGAGCUGAAUGACCUGCAGCUCAGGCUUUGCUCUUGCCACCUUCUCUUGGCUACCCUGGGGUCCGGACUUUCAGGUCAACUCAACAGACCAUUUCUUGCCAGAUUAAGCAUAGUUUGCCUCUCAAUUCAAAUGGCAGCUGGAAAUAAAAGCCCGCCCUGACCUUAGCAGUAUGGCAUGGAGGUUAAGAAGCUUUGACUCCAUCAAAUUUCAGCUCUGUCACUUUUACUGUGUAACCUUGGGCAAAUCUCUUUAUCUCUCUGAGCCUCUGCUUCCAAAUCUGUAAAAUGGAUGUAGUGACAGCACCCAAAGAGUUGUAUGAGGACUGGUGAGAGAAUGCAUAUGGACUAUGGUGAGCUCCAGCAAAUGGUAGCUAUCACUUUUAUCACACACUAUAUUGCAGUUACUGGCAUUUAGCACAAUGCCUGGUACAUAGUUGGCAUUCAAUAAAUAUUUAAUAAAUAAA